AGUAACGCGUGGGAAUCUACCCUUUCCUACGGAAUAACACAGAGAAAUUUGUGCUAAUACCGUAUACGCCCUUCGGGGGAAAGAUUUAUCGGGGAAGGAUGAGCCCGCGUCGGAUUAGCUAGUUGGUGGGGUAAUGGCCCACCAAGGCGACGAUCCGUAGCUGGUCUGAGAGGAUGACCAGCCACAUUGGGACUGAGACACGGCCCAAACUCCUACGGGAGGCAGCAGUGGGGAAUAUUGGACAAUGGGCGCAAGCCUGAUCCAGCCAUGCCGCGUGAGUGAUGAAGGCCUUAGGGUUGUAAAGCUCUUUCACCCACGACGAUAAUGACGGUAGUGGGAGAAGAAGCCCCGGCUAACUUCGUGCCAGCAGCCGCGGUAAUACGAAGGGGGCUAGCGUUGUUCGGAUUUACUGGGCGUAAAGCGUACGUAGGCGGACCGUUAAGUCGGAGGUGAAAUCCUGGGGCUCAACCCCAGAACUGCCUUCGAUACUGGCGGUCUCGAGUCCGGGAGAGGUGAGUGGAACUGCCAGUGUAGAGGUGAAAUUCGUAGAUAUUGGCAAGAACACCAGUGGCGAAGGCGGCUCACUGGCCCGGUACUGACGCUGAGGUACGAAAGCGUGGGGAGCAAACAGGAUUAGAUACCCUGGUAGUCCACGCCGUAAACGAUGGAAGCCAGCCGUCGGGCAGCAUGCUGUUCGGUGGCGCAGCUAACGCUUGAGCUCCCGC
rnacentral:rRNA from 1 species